ensembl:miRNA
AUGAGCGGGUGGGAGCAGGUCUUACUGAGAGUUCCUUCUCCUGCUCCUGAUUGUCUUCCCCCACCCUCACAG